rnacentral:tRNA from 4 species
CCACGGAUAGCUCAGGUUGGGUAGAGCAUCAGACUCAUAAUCUGACGGUCGAAGGUUCGAAUCCUUCUCCAUUGGCCU